GGCUGACCUUCCCCUUCCCUACAAUUAAACAGCAGAUAAGCAUGUAGAAAGCUUACCUUAUACCAUGUUUGGACGAGGGUUCGAAUCCCUCCGGCUCCACCA
rnacentral:tRNA from 1 species